GGAAUAUGAUUGUCAGAGAUGAACUGAGGCCUAGGAAAUAUUCAUUCUUCCCAAAUCAGAGAAGGUGUGAAAGCCAGAGGUGGUCUCUUCCUGGUCAUUCUCCCUGUCCCCUGUACCACUUCAAAUGGGAUUUAAGACUAUCUACUGGCUUUUGAACUGUGGUGUUGGAGAAGACUCUUGAGAGUCCCUUGGACUGCAAGGAGAUCCAACCAGUCCAUUCUGAAGGAGAUCAGCCCUGGGAUUUCUUUGGAGGGAAUGAUGCUGAAGCUGAAACGCCAAUACUUUGGCCACCUCAUGUGAAGAGUUGACUCAUUGGAAAAGACUCUGAUGCUGGGAGGGAUUGGGGGCAGGAGGAGAAGGGGACGACAGAGGAUGAGAUGGCUGGAUGGCAUCACUGACUCAUUGGACAUGAGUCUGAGUGAACUCCAGGAGUUGGUGAUGGACAGGGAGGCCUGGCGUGCUGUGAUUUAUGGGGUCACAAAGAGUCAGACACGACUGAGUGACUGAACUGAACUGAACUGGUAAAGGUGCCCAUUUAAAAAAUGCACACACACACACACACAUACACACAAUCAGUCUGAAACACUUUGAAUUCCAAAGUACCCUGUUUUGGUCAUCACAUUUUAGAAAAAGACAUUUUAUUUUGCAUCACAUACAUACAAAUCUACACAGUUUCUGUCAAUACCCAUGCCACCUGCUCUGAAGACUCAAAGGUCCCCAAGAUCCUUGCUUUAUUCUCUUCUCAUCUGGCAGACACCACGGGCUGUGUCUGGUCGGCCAUCACUUUUGUUUCCUAAUCCAACUGCACGACUUGAUGUUCACAGUCCUACUCAUUGUUCUGGCCUGGACCAGUGUGGUGGGCCCUUAUGCUGCUGUUUGCUGUUUCUGCCUGACACUAGUGUUCCUCAGAACUGA
rnacentral:lncRNA from 1 species